rnacentral:rRNA from 1 species
GAUGAACGCUGGCGGCGUGCCUAAUACAUGCAAGUCGAGCGAACAGACGAGGAGCUUGCUCCUCUGACGUUAGCGGCGGACGGGUGAGUAACACGUGGAUAACCUACCUAUAAGACUGGGAUAACUUCGGGAAACCGGAGCUAAUCCCGGAUAAUAUAUUGAACCGCAUGGUUCAAUAGUGAAAGACGGUUUUGCUGUCACUUAUAGAUGGAUCCGCGCCGCAUUAGCUAGUUGGUAAGGUAACGGCUUACCAAGGCAACGAUGCGUAGCCGACCUGAGAGGGUGAUCGGCCACACUGGAACGGAGACACGGUCCAGACUCCUACGGGAGGCAGCAGUAGGGAAUCGUACGCAAUGGGCGAAAGCUUGACGGAGCAACGCCGCGUGAGUGAUGAAGGUCUUCGGAUCGUAAAACUCUGUUAUUAGGGAAGAACAAAUGUGUAAGUAACUAUGCACGUCUUGACGGUACCUAAUCAGAAAGCCACGGCUAACUACGUG